CUUUACUGUAACCUGGUAUUGGGUUCGGGCUUUGACUGCGGAGGAUAGGUGGGAGACUAUGAAGUGCUGCUUGUGGGUAGCAUGGAGUCAACAGUGAGAUACCACUCUGUCAGAGCUAGAAUUCUAACCUUCACCCAUGAUCUGGGGAAGGAACCGUAUCAGGCGGGCAGUUUGACUGGGGCGGUCGCCUCCUAAAUGGUAACGGAGGCGCGCAAAGGUGUUCUCAGGCUGGUUGGAAAUCAGCCGCAGAGUGUAAAGGCAGAAGAACGCUUGACUGUGAGAGUGACAACUCAAGCAGGGUGGAAACACGGCCUUAGUGAUCCGACGGCUUGUGCGUGGAAAUGCCGUCGCUCAACGGAUAAAAGUUA
rnacentral:rRNA from 1 species